rnacentral:rRNA from 1 species
UACGAAGGGUGCAAGCGUUAUUCGGAAUUACUGGGCGUAAAGCGCGCGUAGGUGGUGAGUUAAGUCUGAUGUGAAAUCCCCGGGCUCAACCUGGGAAUGGCAUUGGAUACUGGCUCGCUAGAGUGCGGUAGAGGGUGGUGGAAUUCCCGGUGUAGCAGUGAAAUGCGUAGAGAUCGGGAGGAACAUCUGUGGCGAAGGCGGCCACCUGGACCAACACUGACACUGAGGCACGAAAGCGUGGGGAGCAAACAGG